rnacentral:rRNA from 1 species
AUUGAACGCUGGCGGCAGGCCUAACACAUGCAAGUCGAGCGGAUGAAGGGAGCUUGCUCCUGGAUUCAGCGGCGGACGGGUGAGUAAUGCCUAGGAAUCUGCCUGGUAGUGGGGGAUAACGUCCGGAAACGGGCGCUAAUACCGCAUACGUCCUGAGGGAGAAAGGGGGGGAUCUUCGGACCUCACGCUAUCAGAUGAGCCUAGGUCGGAUUAGCUAGUUGGUGGGGUAAAGGCCUACCAAGGCGACGAUCCGUAACUGGUCUGAGAGGAUGAUCAGUCACACUGGAACUGAGACACGGUCCAGACUCCUACGGGAGGCAGCAGUAGGGAAUAUUGGACAAUGGGCGAAAGCCUGAUCCAGCCAUGCCGCGUGUGUGAAGAAGGUCUUCGGAUUGUAAAGCACUUUAAGUUGGGAGGAAGGGCAGUAAGUUAAUACCUUGCUGUUUUGACGUUACCAACAGAAUAAGCACCGGCUAACUUCGUG